AAAAUUACAUAAAAAAAAUGUCAUACAAAAAUUCUCAUUUUUUUUACAGACGAAAUUCCAUACACGAAGAAUGUUUUUUUUUUUGAAGAUCCUCCACUACCUACGUGGUCGUACCAAAUUAACAAAGAAACAAUGGAAGACCGUACUAACAAGCGCAUAUGCAUACGAAGAUGCUCUUUCGCUCUGUAAUUGAAACUCUCGACUCAUUAGUACAAGGACAAAAUCGAACCUGGAGACUGCUACUGUAACUGGUAUAUGUUAUUACCAACAGAAACAUCAGGGUUACCAUUGCGGUAAUGAGAGCGUCAACCACCUCUAAGAACACAAUACGGACUCUAAUGAGAGAAAUCUGACGAGGCACCCUUGGGCCAAGACCCUUUGGCUUGUUCGGCAGCUAGUUCAUGGGUUAGCAACUGGGUAGUAGGACGGGGUACCCAGACCUGGUUUCUACCACCUUUAACAACGUUCCAUCCUUAUGGUCCGUAUAUAUCCUUCUCUCUCUUACCUAACGUAUCGAUUAGCGUUCAAGGUCGAUUCCAGAGCAGAAAAAUCUCGUUAUUUUUAUGGUUAAUUGCACCCGUAUACCGACCACCAAAGGGUCCCACCAAAGGCGACUUGAUUUUUCCGCUUCAUUAGGCGAUUUCCGAUUAAAGGCCGGACCCUCACGUAAAAGGAAUCUGAACACAAUGGGUGGCUCUCUUUUCCUUCUAACUAGUAGACCACUAAUCACAAGACUUUUCUAUUCGUUACAGGCCUGAUGUACCCGAGCCAAAGAAAUCAUUCCUGAUCCUUACAAGUAAUUUUUCAUCGUUCCGAUAUUUUAUACAUAUCUAGUUUCUCUUUGUGUCUGUAUUUUGAAUUUUUUCUAGAUCUCAUUAGACUACGAUCUUCGUGCCUAGCCUAUACUUUUUAUAGUUCAUUAUGAAAUAUUCAAAGUACUCGUUUGGUCGGAAUUGCACGUAAGAAGGACUUUCUGCAAAGGGAUGGAGCAAUAAUACGACGAAUGCCAGAUGCUAGGAACGAAAGGACGCAAGAUGGCGUCUGAUAUACAGUUCUCUAUAGUAAAUGUAUAUGGAAGAAGAGAAGUCAGUCACUCGUUUGGCAGAAAGCAGUGGCGUGGCAAUUCUCGAUGAAGCCACCAAGCCAGGUCACCCGUAUUAAGUUCAAAGACGCUCCUUUGCGAAUCCUAAUCUCUUCACAUUUAUUCUCCACGUGACACCGUGUGUCCUGAAACUAAGGGAACCAUGGAAACAAGGAAGCCAUCGUACGACGACGAUAUCCCUCCAAGGAUUCCCAGCUUACCGAAGUCGACGGCGAGGACGAAUUGCGUUCGUGACACAAAUCAUGGACCCAGAGAACUAGCACGAGGUACCAAAAUGAAGGUAUGAAAGGAUAUACCAAUGGUGAGAUGCAAUGCUGAAAUUCCCUGCUGCUGGUGCCUUGGCGUUGUGCCAAUUGCGAAUCCUCCCAGUCGCUCGAAUUACACGGGCGAAGGCUGACGACGAGAAAAAUGCAAAAUUUUCGAAAGCACCGUGAAAGCCAACCCGAGACGCUUUUGACUGAGAGAAGUCGAGCGAGUGCCAGGAGUAGAAACAGAACUGAAAACGAGGAAUACCAUGAGAACCAGCAUUAACGCUGUGGACUACCGGUGAUAUAUAGAUACACCCAAGCAAUAUACAGGACCCUCACGUGGACAGAUUCAUCGGAUUCGAUAGAAGCUUUAGAACAGGACGAACGACCUAAUGGAAGCGGUACAGUUCCAAAGGGUCUUUAUCACUUGACACUUGUCUUGGCACUAACGUUGCUUAACCGCAGGGUCCGAUCAGAUUGAACGGGAAGACUAAGAAGAACGUAGGAAGCAAGAAGAGGCCGACACUGUCGAAGAGAAAAGGAAAUCUAUUGAAAUCCGUCAGGACAAGCUCAAGAGGAUAUAAAUUUAUCGUUAAUUCAAUCGUAGGUACUAAUCCAUUAGUCCUUUCAGAUUUCUAGAAGCUUCCCGACGCCCAUGACUCAACCCCCACGUCCUCGAUAGCGCAAUCGUAACUUUACCUGCGAAAAACCUGUUAAAGGCGUUUCUCAGACAGCUAAAGGACUGAAUCCACAAGGUGAAUCCAUAGGGCGACGACUUCUCGACUUCUUCGGUAAUAGCGUCGCUCAUGACUUUUUCGACGUUUUUACCAAAUCGAAAAGUUCCCUGCUCGAUUGACACGGAAUCUUCGUCGGCAGGCACGAAGGCACCCGACCCCCCAGCCAGUCACCGAACCGGCCAAUUCCUCGACAGAAUGCACUCGAAAAGUUCUUCGUGCUUUUCCUGCGAAUAGUUCUCCUACGGUUGGGUUGGGAAUGGUACUUUAGGUAGCGUCGUGCGAGUCGCGACACGUACGAAUCAAACGAUUCUAGUCUGUCGAGUCGGUCUGGGCUUUUCGGUUGCAUCCAUUGCAUUUCUGCACCUGCAUUCCGUCAAGUCAUCGCUGGCUGACUGCAAUUCUCCUCCAGGGACGCGCAUGCGGUUACCAAUGUAUGUAGAUACGAAUGCGGAUGCGAAUGCGGACACGAAGAGCCUACUUGUUCCCACUCGCUCUCUCUCUCUCUCUCUCUCUUUCUCACCUUACCGACAAUGUCCUUUCUCUCUCGUGCAAUUCAGUCGGACAUCAUAGCUCGGGAAAUAGGAAAGGAGCAGCUAGACUUUCAAAAGAAUCCCAAAGCAGUUAAAUACUCUAUCGCAGAAGAAAUGCACAUGGCCGCUGCACGUAUACGGAUCUUUGUAUCUGAAACCAUGAGAAUAAAAAGAGAAAAUGGCCAACUUUUCAGAUCAUCGGUACCGGCACUCAUUUCCAAGUUCUGAUGAUCCAGAUAACCAAGUAAAGGGGAGUCUCUCUUUCAUCUCCUAGGAUCCCUUAUUUUUUCUGCUUUCUCUCUCUCUCCUUCUAUAUACUUCCUUUUUACCUCUCAUCCCUUAUUGUUAGGUGAGACGGCCUGGAUCUUUUGUUUAUCGCCUGGAGAUACGUAUCGUUAACACUCACGUACGGCCCCUAUACAAAUUCACCAUGGAAUUAUAGAGUUCCCAAUGUUCGAGAGAGGAACGAGAGUUUGGCGGUGUGCAUCCCAAAUGUUUUUAGCCACGUUAGUAUACUCGGUUGCUUAUAUAAUCAAUAUACGAGGGCGCGAGGCAAAGAGAAUGAGAGGAUGCGAGAGGGUGAGAGAACGUGAAGCGGAGAAGCGUACAGGAGAGAAGGGGAGGCAAAGAUAAGCAGAUAUAGAUACAUGGAUAUAGAUCAACAUAGAAAAUAGAUGAAGAUGCAGCGUGCGCAAAAAAAAAUAUAGGAUAAAUUUCUGUCUCGAUGAAAAAGUAAAACUGCUAGAUGUGCAACGCUCGUUUUAAGCGAACGUAUGAGAAUUGAGAAGAGAGAGAGAGAGAGAGAGAGGGAAUAACGUCAGCAAAAAAUCUCGCUAGGGUUCUCUCUCUCUCUCUAUCCCUUUGAAGGUCUUAAAGUUUUCAGACUUUUUCCAUCUUCCUUCACCCUGGACCACCGUAGUCUUCACAGUCAUAGAUACGAGACUUCUGUACAAUUCUCCUUCAACCUCUUUAUCGUCUUCGUCCUCGUUCUCCAGUAUCCUCGUAACUUCGUUCCUAAACAGACAGCCAACUACUGUCGGGGAAAGGACUUUUGUAGAAUUGCCAAUCUGUUUCGAAGAUGUUGAGUAGUAGCCAGUUAUGUACCGACGUUCACCGUACCAGGUGUCGUUAUACCUCCGUUUUUUAAAUUCUUUAUCUUUUCCCGCGCAACCUUAGUUCACUCUUUUCCCGUCCAGGUGGCGCGUCUAAUAUUACUCGCAGAAACCACGACUGAAAUAGGAAACGGUAUGGAGGUUAGGGAUGAUAAUAAUAAGUGUGCUUAAGGAUACUUGGCAGGAAAUACUUACUGAGAUCUUUAACAGGAGAAAUUGAGUGUGAGGUUAGGUUAGGUUGCUUUUACAAGGAUAUAAAUACCUCGAACUCGUACAUCGUGUAUGCCUAUCCGUCAAAGUAUAUUAUGCACAAGAUUAAAUAAGUGGAUUAGUGGCGGAGUGGCACGAGACUGGUAAGAGAGAUUGUUAUUUCUCGCUUAGGAGUAUUUGACGAGUAAGUGUGUAACUUCCUGUCUAUCGAACAGCUGGCAAAUUGACAAAAGGGUAACUGCUGAUCUUGCCUCUUUGUGUUUUCAAUACAAUUGUUUUUCUUUCAUUAAGUUGCCAGCGGUUGAUAUUACCGGUGGACAGUGUUCUGUGUAUCCAUGUAGGAUCAUCAGGAUCACGUAUGUUCUCGAGAUCCAAUCUUUCACGCUCUCAAGGACGGGUUCUCUGCUUCACUUUGACCUGCCGCUAACUUCGCGUCGUGACCUUACGUCUGUAUACGGCCUCGAAAUCCAAUGUAGAGCGAAGUGAAAAACUUUAAAAAAUUUAACGCUGAUCGGAAAAAUUAAAUUUUUAACUAAAUUUCCUUGAAAUUCCAUUCAACGAGUAUUCGUUAUAUCCGUAUUAGCGUUCGCGGGCAACUUUUAAUUUCCAGAUAAUAUCCUGUCGGCCAUAUUGAUAGUCCCGCGCAGCGUUAUUGUCAGCGACGCGGAUACCUUGCAGAAAUAAAACUGUAUUCGCCACUUCAUUAGAAACUGCCUAUUACAAAACUUUCCUUGCAACUACUUUCGAGCAUCAUCCUCUUCCUGUGCACAAGUUCUGGAAUACAUGAGAAGUAAUGACGGAAUACCUUAACCUCAAAAUCUACUAUCAAGCGGAUCGAGGCUACGGACCAGAAGUGAAGUCUAAGUCUUCGAAGUACGCAUAAUUAUUCGACACCUCCGCUUUUCAACAGUGAACUUUACCUAUAGAACAGAGUCAAACCCAUGACGAAAUGGGUUUACGGCUGAAAGGAUCUGACGGUGUUCGCGAAUGAAAGGGUUACCGGUUCGGUACUGAGAAGAGUGGGAGAAGAAGGAGUUAGACAGGUGUGGGUUAGGACGUGAGGGGGUAAGUUCUGAGCCGGUGGAUGGCAAUGGAGGGAUGGCGGAGAAGGUAUAGUAAGGGUGCAAGGGGGUGGGCUAAGUGACAAGUUGAGGGAUUGCCGUGACUACGUUGUCGUUGUGUGCAAUCGUCGCGGCGGCCCGAGGCUCUCCGGCGCGUUACGCUAUUUCAGAUUUACCCACGAAUCGAUAUAACCUCAACAUGGCGAGUAUUUAUCUUUUUGGUCGUUCCGUGUAGUGCAAUUCGAUUAGUGGCACUUGGGGGUUGGCUUAUAUCUUUAUAAUUUGUACAGCGCAUAAAUACGGCAUUCAAUGACAAAACGAUGAGAAAUAUUGUAAAUGAGAAUUUGACUG